rnacentral:tRNA from 1 species
UCCCUGGUAGUUCAGUGGUUAAGACCCCGCACUUCCAUUGCAGGAGGCUCGGGUUUGAUCCCUGGUCAGGGAA